rnacentral:rRNA from 1 species
UAUUUCAUGGAGAGUUUGAUCCUGGCUCAGGACGAACGCUGGCGGCGUGCCUAAUACAUGCAAGUCGAGCGGACCGAC